AGAGUUUGAUCUUGGCUCAAGAUGAACGCUGGCGGUAUGCUUAACACAUGCAAGUCGAACGGUCUCUUCGGAGAUAGUGGCGGACGGGUGAGUAACGCGUGAGAAUCUGCCUCUAGGUCGGGGACAACAGUUGGAAACGACUGCUAAUCCCGGAUGAGCCGGAAGGUAAAAGAUUUAUUGCCUAGAGAAGAGCUCGCGUCCGAUUAGUUAGUUGGUGGGGUAAAGGCCUACCAAGACAGCGAUCGGUAUCUGGUCUGAGAGGACGAUCAGCCACACUGGGACUGAGACACGGCCCAGACUCCUACGGGAGGCAGCAGUGGGGAAUUUUCCGCAAUGGGCGAAAGCCUGACGGAGCAAUACCGCGUGCGGGAGGAAGGCCCUUGGGUCGUAAACCGCUUUUAUCAGGGAAGAAGUUCUGACGGUACCUGAUGAAAAAGCCUCGGCUAACUCCGUGCCAGCAGCCGCGGUAAUACGGAGGAGGCAAGCGUUAUCCGGAAUUAUUGGGCGUAAAGCGUCCGCAGGUGGUAUUGUAAGUCUGCUGUCAAAGACAGAAGCUCAACUUCUGAAAGGCAGUGGAAACUGCAAAACUAGAGUACAGUAGGGGUAGAGGGAAUUCCCAGUGUAGCGGUGAAAUGCGUAGAGAUUGGGAAGAACACCGGUGGCGAAGGCGCUCUGCUGGGCUGUAACUGACACUGAGGGACGAAAGCUAGGGGAGCGAAUGGGAUUAGAUACCCCAGUAGUCCUAGCCGUAAACGAUGGAAACUAGGCGUGGCUUGUAUCGACCCGAGCCGUGCCGAAGCUAACGCGUUAAGUUUCCCGCUGGGGAGUACGCACGCAAGUGUGAAACUCAAAGGAAUUGACGGGGGCCCGCACAAGCGGUGGAGUAUGUGGUUUAAUUCGAUGCAACGCGAAGAACCUUACCAAGGCUUGACAUCUGGCGAAUCUUGAUGAAAGUUGAGAGUGCUUUAGGGAACGCCAAGACAGGUGGUGCAUGGCUGUCGUCCGCUCGUGUCGUGAGAUGUUGGGUUAAGUCCCGCAACGAGCGCAACCCUCGUCAUUAGUUGCUAGCGAUUAAAUCGCGCACUCUAGGGAGACUGCCGGGGACAACUCGGAGGAAGGUGGGGAUGACGUCAAGUCAGCAUGCCCCUUACGCCUUGGGCUACACACGUACUACAAUGGUCGAGACAAAGGGCAGCAAACCGGCGACGGCAAGUGAAUCCCAGCAAAUUCGGUCACAGUUCGGAUUGCAGGCUGAAACUCGCCUGCAUGAAGUAGGAAUCGCUAGUAAUCGCAGGUCAGCAUACUGCGGUGAAUCCGUUCCCGGGCCUUGUACACACCGCCCGUCACACCAUGGAAGCUGGCAACAUCCGAAGUCGUUACUCCAACCGUUCGCGGAGGAGGGCGCCGAAGGUGGGGCUAGUGACUGGGGUGAAGUCGUAACAAGGUAACC
rnacentral:rRNA from 1 species